CACUCUUGUUUAUCUUCAUAUUGUAUAAAUCUUUUGCCUUUGAUUUCCGUGGAGAGGAACAGCAAGAGUUUAACCCAAUUGUUUAAUACCCUGCAGAUUAGUGGGGUG
rnacentral:snRNA from 1 species